CACGUAGGGUGCGAGCGUUGUCCGGAAUUAUUGGGCGUAAAGAGCUCGUAGGCGGUGUGUCGCGUCGGCCGUGAAAACCUGUGGCUUAACCACGGGCUUGCGGUCGAUACGGGCAUCACUGGAGUUCGGCAGGGGAGACUGGAAUUCCUGGUGUAGCGGUGAAAUGCGCAGAUAUCAGGAGGAACACCGGUGGCGAAGGCGGGUCUCUGGGCCGAUACUGACGCUGAGGAGCGAAAGCGUGGGGAGCGAACAGG
rnacentral:rRNA from 1 species